rnacentral:rRNA from 1 species
GACGAACGCUGGCGGCGUGCCUAAUACAUGCAAGUAGAACGCACAGUUUAUACCGUAGCUUGCUACACCAUAGACUGUGAGUUGCGAACGGGUGAGUAACGCGUAGGUAACCUGCCUGGUAGCGGGGGAUAACUAUUGGAAACGAUAGCUAAUACCGCAUAAUAUUAAUUAUUGCAUGAUAAUUAAUUGAAAGGUGCAAUUGCACCACUACCAGAUGGACCUGCGUUGUAUUAGCUAGUAGGUGAGGUAACGGCUCACCUAGGCGACGAUACAUAGCCGACCGGAGAGGGUGGUCGGCCACACUGGGACUGAGACACGGCCCAGAGGCCUACGGGAGGCAGCAGUAGGGAAUCUUCGGCAAGGGACGAAAGUCUGACCGAGCAACGCCGCGUGAGUGAAGAAGGUUUUCGGAUCGUAAAGCUCUGUUGUAAGAGAAGAACGGGUGUGAGAGUGGAAAGUUCGCACUGUGACGGUAGCUUACCAGAAAGGGACGGCUAACUACGUG